rnacentral:rRNA from 1 species
CAGCAGCCGCGGGAAUACGUAGGUGGCAAGCGUUGUCCGGAAUUAUUGGGCGUAAAGGGCUCGCAGGCGGUUUCUUAAGUCUGAUGUGAAAGCCCCCGGCUCAACCGGGGAGGGUCGUUGGAAACUGGGAAACUUGAGUGCAGAGGAGGAGAGUGGAAUUCCACGUGUAGCGGUGAAAUGCGUAGAGAUGUGGAGGAACACCAGUGGCGAAGGCGACUCUCUGGUCUGUAACUGACGCUGAGGAGCGAAAGCGUGGGGAGCGAACAGGAUUAGAUACCCCUGUAGUCCCUGUCUCUUAUAC